UCGUCAUGACGGAUGGGCCUGGAACUAGGUAGAGGGUCUGCGUUCAGCGGUGGUAGCGGCGAAGGCGGGGAAACCCCACUCCCGCUUGACACUUCCCGAUCCGGGCCGCGACGACGGGCAGGAGCCGUAGUACGCAGGCGCAGGGGCCCAGAGGCGAGCGCCGAACGCUAUCAGGGGUGGCUAGCCGAUUGGCGAGCUAGGGAGCCUGCGCGCUUCCGUAGGGUAAGAAGAGCGCUAUCCUGGAGGCUUCCUACGUGGCCAUGGUAACCAAGGCUUCUCUGCGUGCCCCUGCGGAGUUAGAGCUGGGGCGCAACCUGACAGGUUUGAGUCUAUGUGUUUGGAAAGUCCUCUAGCAAGCGCUGAACGUUUUGCAGGUACUUGAUAAAUAUUUAUUGCAUAAAUAAUUGAAUAUGACCCUGUGGAACUGGAAUGUAGAGUUCAAGAAGGAGAACAGCAGAAGACAAUGGUGAAAGGCAACUGCCAUGUUGUGGGCUGUCCUAUGGAGAAGAACAGGACUAUGUGGCAAGAACUGAGGGAGGCUUCUGGGACACAAUUAGUAAAGAACUGAGGCCCUUAGUCCAAUAUCCUGCUAACAUCGAGUGAGUGAUUCUGGAAAUGGAUCCUCCACCAUCAACACUUCAGAUAUGACUGCAGCUCCAGCCAACAUCCUGACUGCAACAUAAGGGACCUUGAGCCAGAGGCACCCAGCUAAACUGUACCCAGAUUGCUGGUACAUAAACAGAAACUGUGUGAUAAAUGUUUGUUUGAAGCCAUUAAGUUUUGGGGUACUUUGUUUUAUAGCAAUAAAUAAUAUACUUACUCACAUAAUUUUAAAAUAAUAUAUAAUGCCCUAACUGUAAUAUAAAGGUAAAAUAAAGACAAUAACCUAUGUUGUAAUAUGUACAUGUUUAAGCACGAUUACACUAGGGGCUAUAAUGAAGAUUUCUGAUGCUUGUACCUGUAUGUGUAGAUGCACCUUGAAUGCAGGAGCUAGGAAUGUAGACUGACUGGGGUGAGUUGAUGACAUUAUUUCCUGAAAUAGUCCAAAGCUCUUAAUGAGUUACAA